AUAUAGUCAUGUACUUUUGUUAUCAUCCAUUGCUGCUGUAUAAAAUAUGGUCUUCAUCUGUCCUUUAUUUCUCAGAAAUAUUUUUGACUUGUUUGUUCUCUAAUUAGAAAGCAUUAUGAGAUGCUGUUGAAUAUAGAAACCUUGCUGCUUUUUGACCAUACAGAAAAAUGAAUUUAAACAAAAAAAGAAAUUGUUGGUCCUGAAAAUGGUCGCCUAGUGUGCCUUAAAUGUGUAAU
rnacentral:misc_RNA from 1 species